AGUCGGCGUGCCUUGCAGCUGUUGGCUUGACCCCAGGCCGGGACGGGCAGAGCGGAACACUGCCCGGCGGGUCCAGGCCGACCGUGCCUGUGGCUCUCCGGAACAAUAAACCCCCGGCCCCAGUGAUGUGGGCCAGACCGGACCUGGAGAGGCGGCACCGCGACCCCUCCCGCAACCCGCCUGGCGGCCGGGGGCAGCGUGACCCGGCCCGCUACCGUGUCACAGCUGGCGACUGACAAACAGCAGGCGACGUCGGGAGAACUCCCCGAGACACCCGAGACAUCAGCCUUCUCGCUCCGCGGCCCUGCAGGACCUGCCCGCCGGGAGCCCCGGAGUCCGCGGCAGCGCCGAGGGCCCCUCCCCCAGGCCUCUGGGCUCUGAGGCUCAUCCAUGGAAUACCAAUUCUUUUUCUUAGUGUUCACAUUGGAUUUUUCUGUUAAAAAUAGAUUGUUGGAGUUGGCUAACAAGUUGAUUACUUCCAGUCAGGCACUCUCUUCUGUAAAGUCUCUUUUGUAAACUCCUACAAGCAGCUAUUUCACUGGAUUUGAAAAGACUGACUAAAAAGAACCAUGCACUGUAACUCUCAAGUAUACAGGAAUAUUGUUAUUAGGUCACAGUGAGCCGAGAUCAUGCCACUCCACUCCAGCCUGGGUGACAGAGCAAGACUCCAUUUCAAAAAAAAAAAAAACUGAAAAUACCAAAUAUUGACAAGGAUUUGGAGCAAGUGGAACCCUCAUACAUUGCUGAUGGAAAUGCAAAAUUAUACAGCCAAUUUGGAAAAAUAACUGGGUGUGGUGGUGUGCACCUAUUUUUCCAACAACUUGGGAGACUAAGGGACCAUGCCUGGCCGGAUGCUGCCGCCUGGCUUCAGUGCCAUCUGCAUGUCCUCAGGGAUGACAAAGGACUCAUUGUACCAGAUGUCAAAUUCUACAAGGAGAGACGGGGUCUCACUGUAUUGCCCAGGCUGGUCUCGAACUCCUGUACUCAAGCAAUCCACCCGCCUCAGCCUCCCAAAGUGCUGAGAUUACAGGCGUGAGCCACUUCGCCUGGCCUAGGAGAUAUGAGUUUACUUGAUCUGUUCAAGUAAAUUCAAUAAAAUAAAGACAGUCUUCAUCUGUCACCCAGACUGGAGUGCAGUGGCGCAAUCUUGCCUCACUACAACCUCUGCCUCCUGGGCUCAAGCGAUUUUCAUGCCUCAGCCUCCCAAGAUGCUAGGAUUACAAGUGUGUGCCACCACGCCCUGCUCCUCUGAGAAAUAAAUGAGUAAAAUGCACCCCCUGUGAGUGAGAUGAUGCAUCUGACUUGCAGGAAUAAACCAAGUGACAUCUGGAGAUCACUCAUGGAAGCUGGCCUGGAACAGGGUUGUGAUUUAGCGAGGGAAAGCCCAGUAACCUGUGGUGUUUCCUGUCUGGAAGAAGACAGUAAGACUGAGCCAGGAGUGUGAAGAACAGUGUGGCCUCUGAACCACCUGUCCCAGAGUUGGAAUGGUCACUCACUAAAAUGCAGGUCCUGGGCCCUGCUCCAUCUCUCCCAAGUCAGAACCACUGGCUGAGGGGCUGGGAAUCUGCACUUGACCAGCCCUCUCAGAUAAGUCAUCUGAACACGCAAGCUUGGUGGGCCUUGGCCCUCAGUGCAGGUGUGGGCGGCGCACGCCACCAGGACAAGGACACUGGGUCAGAGUAACCAGGUACUCUUCACAUGUUGAGGAUCACAUAUGGUUUUGUUUGAUCUGGUGCAGAAGCUAACAUUAGCUGAUUACCUAAUUGGGCGUAAUUCCUCCUUCGGGGAGUCUGAGGGAAGGGGCUCAAUGCUGGAAGUUUCCCGGUCCCGCGAAAGCAUGUCUUUGACAUCCCCAUCUUUGGAGGAUGGGACCAGCUGGGUCUUGGAGGUGGAAACGUAAUCCAAGUCCUUCCCAUUCACAGGGCUGCUGGCACCUUCCUUUCUUGCCAAGGAGCUGGAAGAAGGCACGGAAGCCCCAGGGUUCAGUCAUGGACAGUGAGUUAUCAGAUGCCAGGAUGAGUGACCUUUCUCAGCACUGACUACACUGGGAACCCCACCUCAUUCAGCUCCCAUCUUGUUCAUAUGCCUAGGUAAAAGCGCAAAUAGUGUGAUGCUAAGCCAGGCAGAUGUGGAGGAAGAAGAGGGCAUUUUUCUCCCUUUUAUCAGAACAAAGAGCCCUCGGUGGUCUUGGCAGGAGACGCUUGGGAAAAAUGGGUACAAUCUCCAGGGAUUGAAAGUGUAUGGACCUGUAGGAUGGGCCACAGGUUCUCAGGAACCACCACGGCUGCUGAGGUCUGAGUCAUACAGGCUUCCCCGGGAAGGACUGGCAGAGCCCCACACAGGGUGGUUCUGUCUGUGGAUCAAUGGUAAAGCAGGAUGGCUCUGCCCUGCUGUUCUUACUGGUCCACACCCUGUUCUCCACACCAGCUCCCAGAAAAGUAGCUGUCCUCCCUGCUGAAGUGACAGUGCUUGGUGCCUUUCUCCGAGAAGAGGCAGAUCUGAGGACCGAACUGGCAGGAGGAUGCCCAUGGCUCUUCCCAAAGGUCUGAGGAUAGAAAAUCUGUUUCUUCCUCUUUCCUCCUCCUUGCAACGAGUAUGGCUCAGGGAACUGAGCCUCAACCCAUUGAAUACUGCACUGAUUAUCCGGAAGCAGAACAGAGAGGGUUGGGGUGUGACUGCACUCAUGAAGAGGCAGGAGGAAGCCAGGGACACUGGCAUCCUCUGCUGCCUGACUCUUGUCCUGCGUGUAACAGUUUUCUACAAUCAGCUCUGGCCUGUGGCCUGUGCUCACACACUCUUGCUCACAACAACCUCAAUGACUUGGAUGCUAUUAUUAUUAUUCCCAUUUUGGAGAUGCAGAAACAGGCACAGAGCGGUUCUCAUGUCUCACAUGGGGUGACCCCUUGGGUGUGAGAAGUGCAGAGCAGGGAAGGGAGCCCAGGCGUCAGCUCCAGAGCCUGUGCUCUUACCCACCACUACACAGCACCCUGGGAGGGCUCACUAAGUGAACCUAAAUGCUCUUCCCACCUUGCACAUACAAACGAGUCUUGCCUGAAAGGUGAACUGGAGUUUUAGGUGACCUGAGUGCCAGUCGGCGGGAAGACCCUAGUGAAGUGAGGGGAGGGGGUACAACAUAAAGUACCAGAGGGCAUGGGCUCUGGAGAGCUGGUCCAGCUUCUUGCUGCCAUUCCACUACUCAUUGGUGGUAUGGCCUUGGUGAGUGACUUCCCCUCUCUAAGCCUCUGUUUCUUCAUCAGUGUAAUGAAGACAUUAACUCCCACCUCACCAGGUUGCUGUGAGGACGAGAGAUGAUUCUUGUGCGGUUCCAAACCAGCCCCAGCCCGGGCCCCACAGACUUGCUAGUAUUGGCAGCAGUGACGUCCAUUGUGCCAACCCAGUAGCUGAGACACCAGGGGGAAAGUGGGAACAGUGCACAUCCUCCCAUGCACCCACCGAGGAGGGCCAGCUGCUGAGGAGGCAGAGCGGCAAGGUCACUCACCUGAGUGGCUCUUUGAAUGUCUUCUUGGACUUGGCUUUCUUCCCAGGUUUGGUAGAGAAAGGGGCGACUCCGAGUCCAAAGUUUUGUCCUUCAGGCUCACCCACUAGGUGGCCAUCAACAUCCACAAGCCCCGCCUACAUAGAGAGGCCAGCCAAAGGUCUGUGAGUUAGAUUAAGGGCUUGGACCCCUUGGGGACCCACAUGUAUAUGGCCCAAGGCUCAGGGUGGACAUGUUCACCAUACACACCAAGGUUUGACAGCUGCUGAUGCCAGCCUCAGGCUGUCCCCUGUAGAGCGGUCCCUGACCACUCUGCCAAAUGUCCACUUUCCACAUGCACCCCCUCACCAGUAUGGCACCUCAUUCCAUACUCUGGGGAUCUUAAAGCUUAUUUCCAACCUAAUUCCAGGAAAUCGUCUUUAAUAUUAUUAUCCAUGUCUCUACCUUAUGGAAAUUAUUUUUAAUUCAAAAGUGGUUUACUCUUAACACAGGUCACCUGUGUUCAUUCUGGUGUUACCUUUAUCUGUUGCAAUCCUAGCUCUGGUUUAAUGCAUUAAUACUUGCUGGCUCUGCAAAGGUCUGAGGAUGGGAAAUCUGAGGUGAGUGCUGUCGGCAAGUAGCAACUAUGCUUACCUUCUGGAUAGCAGAAAUGGCUGCAAAGUCAUUCCUGUCAAUGAGGGUGUACUUCCUGCGCAAAGUGGACUCCACUUCCUGUUCCUGUUGGCUUGGGAGACAGCAAGAGAGAACAGCUUGUACCUGGGGCCAUGCUGAAUCCACUGGGGCAAGAACCAAGUACUGGGGUUAAAAGUCAUAUGGGUGAGGCCCCUUGUGUGGGGCCACACCUUCAUCAUGAACCAGACCAGACAAAAGGACAAAGGACUCACUUCCCCCUGCCCCAUUGCAUAUACCCACUGUCCGACCCCCAUACCCACAAGGGCUACCUUAUGUCAUGUGUGUCUGCUCCAAGAUGACACUUGAUAAGGACCGUAAGCUUCACUUGGGACCAUGUGGGGUUCUGUCUUAGGUUCUGUCUCUAAGAGGCCACUUGGAAUCACAUGACCAGCUUUAGUGACACCACCUAGCAUAAGCUGCUCAGACUAUGGGUAUGUUUGCACCCAAAUAAACCACAAAUGCCUCCUGAGGUGGGAGUGUGUGUUGCAAUAUUCACAAGGUGAAUAUUCACAAUGCCCUGCUCUGGGCACUCUCAGAGCUGGCACUCCAUAAACACCUCCUGUCCAAUUAAUGAACUCACUGAAUAUCCACCAGGGACCCAGGCAUGCCCCCAAGGACUCUGAUUUGGCUCUUCAUCCACAAGCAAGAAGAGGAGCUCUUGGAGGCAAGUGCCCAGAUGGCAGGAGAUGAAAAUGGCAGCCUGAUGUAGGAAUGAGGUAGGGGUGGGGGUCUCUCACCUCAGAACCACCCGGAACUGGUUGAACACCUCCUUGAUCUGUCUAAGGCUGAUUAUCUGGAGGGAAGACAGCAAGGCAGAGGUUAGACCAAGGGCACCUCGAGGGACCAGGGGGCAUCUAUGUUAGUAGAGAAAUCAAGACCCCUUGGCUGACCCCUGGACCAUCUGUCUCGAGAAGAGGACGUGUGCACACAGCCUCUCAGCGAAGUGGCAGCCAAGCCCUCCUCCAGAGCAGAGAAACACCUGAUUAAUAAUUUUAAAACUAAGUAUUUGCUGAGGCUAUAAAAACCACCUUUUCGAAGUGGAGACCUCUAUAAAAUGAAAUGAUUCUAUACCUUGAAAAUACCUUCUAAAGGUUUUUUUUUUUUUUUUAAUAAAAUGUACUUCUCAGCUUUCUCU
rnacentral:lncRNA from 1 species